rnacentral:rRNA from 1 species
UAAUACGUAGGGUGCGAGCGUUAAUCGGAAUUACUGGGCGUAAAGGGUGCGCAGGCGGUUAUAUAAGACAGAUGUGAAAUCCCCGGGCUCAACCUGGGAACUGCGUUUGUGACUGUAUGACUAGAGUACGGUAGAGAGGGGUGGAAUUCCUGGUGUAGCAGUGAAAUGCGUAGAUAUCAGGAGGAACAUCGAUGGCGAAGGCAGCCCCUUGGACCUGUACUGACGCUCAUGCACGAAAGCGUGGGGAGCAAACAGGAUUAGAUACCCUGGUAGUCCACGCCCUAAACGAUGAUCACUAGUUGUUCGGAAAGGUGACUUUCUGAGUAACGUAGCUAACGCGUGAAGUGAUCCGCCUGGGGAGUACGGUCGCAAGAUUA